CUAAUUUUUAAAAUAAUAUAAUUUUUAAUUUUUUAAAAUUUUAAUUUUAAAAUUUGAACUCUUAACUUCUAAAAUUAAGUUUUCAAAUUUUUAAAUUUUAAAAAUUUAAUUUUCAAAUUUAAAUUUGAAAGUUAUAAUUUUAAAUUUUAAAAUUCUAAUAUUUUAAAUUUUAAUAUUUUAAAUUUUGAAUUUUAAAAAUUUUAAAUUUGGAUCUGUUCGGAUCUGUAUACAGUUACAACUGCAAAUGAACAAUCUCU
rnacentral:lncRNA from 1 species